rnacentral:misc_RNA from 1 species
GAGAAAAACAAGGUUUACUAGCCCAUAGACAAACAAGCUUACAAAGUUCCAUAAAGGAAAAGUCUAGCCCUAUUAAACUAACCAAGCCCCAACAAGAAACCCAGCCUAUCAAACAUAAAGAAAAGACCUAGAGCUACAGUAGAGACUCUCCCACAACUUCCUUAACGUCGUCGCAUCGCCACCAUCUUCAAUAGGUCAUCCAUGACCAAAGAUCGCU